AGUGAACGCUGGCGGUAGGCCUAACACAUGCAAGUCGAACGACAGCACAGUAAGAGCUUGCUCUUACGGGUGGCGAGUGGCGGACGGGUGAGGAAUACAUCGGAAUCUUCUUUUUCGUGGGGGCUAACGUAGGGAAACUUACGCUAAUACAGCAUACGACCUAUGGGUGUAAGCACGGGAUCUUUGGACCUUGCGCGAUUGUAUGAGCCUAUGUCGGAUUAGCUAGUUGGCGGGGCAAAGGCCCCCCAAGGCGACGAUCCGUAGCGGGUCGGAGGGGAUGGUCACCCACCCGGGACGUGAGGCAGGGCCCCGACUCCUGGGGGGGGAAGCAGUGGGGAAUAUUGGGCAAUGGGGGAAAGCCUGAUCCAGCACUACGGGGGAGGGGAAGAAGGCGUUCGGGUGGUAAAGCCCUUUUGUUGGGAAGGAAAAGCAGCAGGUUAAUACGCCGCUGUACUGACGGUACCCAAAGAAUAAGCACCGGCUAACUUCGUG
rnacentral:rRNA from 1 species